GUGAAAAGCUUCCACUUCAAGGUGUACAGUUUCCUCGUUGAGGGAGCUCUGGAUUGGAGGAUGGUCUCAACAACCUUGGUUGAGAGACCGGAAGCUACGAGUUGUGCCCCCUCAGAGGCCACACCUAUAAAUUCCACAGCUCCGGGCGGGGGUGGACUAUAGUGCCCUCCGCCUCUAAGAGGAGAUCCCUCCUGACGGGAAUCUCCCAAGGAGAGCCGUCGAGGAGGGAAAUCAAGGAUCUGGUAUGCUAGUUUGUACAAACGGAGUGAGCGCAGACCCCCUUGGUGGUUGAUGUAAGAGACCACCGCAGUGUUGUCAUUGCGCACCAACACAUGGUGACCUCUUAGGUCUGGGAGAAAGUGUUGUAGUGCUCGAAGCAUGGCCAGCAUCUCCAGGAAGUUUAUAUGCCAUGUCAGAUGGCGACCACUCCACAGACCGCGGCCAGGGUGGCCACUCAUGACCUCACCCCAGCCAGUGAGGAACACGACCGUCGCUAGCAUUACGCAGCAACAAGGAGCUCCCAGCACCGGGCCCUGAAACAAGAACCAAGGCUUUCUCCACAUAAGGCACGUAGGCAUCGCCGCAUGACCUUGAUCAUGCAAAGUGGGUUUCCCCUUUGGGAGAACCCCUUGUUCUUGAGCCACCACUGUAGGGGUCUCAUGUACAGCAGGCCAAGAGGUAUCACGUUGGAUGCAGCUUCCAUCAGACCCAGCAGUCUCUGAAACUGCUUGACAGUGAGUGACCGGCCUUCUCUCGCUCCCGCGACUGCGGUGAGGAUCGACUUGAGCCGAGCAGGUGACAUUCAUGCCUGUAUCGUGGUCGAAUCCCACACCACGCCUAGAUAAUUGGUCCUCUAUAAUGGAGAAAGUACACUUUUCUUGGCGUUUAGUCUUAACCCUAGCUCUCUCAUGUGGGCGAGAAUGACAUCUCGAUGUCAAACCACUGUCUGCUCUGAUUGAGCUAAAAUCAACCAAUCGUCGAUAUAGUUCAGUAUGCGUGCUUCCAAUCCCUGAGAACGGGUACUGGAUCUGGCGGGUGAGGAAGAAGAUAGGGAACUCGCCUGUCUCCAUUCCCUCCGCCAGAUUCAACUGCGAACCCCACAAGCAAGACCGCCGAUCUGCCGACUCUGCCGACUCUGCCGACUCUGCAUGAUCCGCUCCAAGGCAGACAACGCACAAACUAUGUGUAUCUCCACCCAUUAUGUAACACGGGCAGGGAGGAACAUACAGCUUGAAACGCUGCCUGGCCUCGCCCAGUUUGUGCUUAGUCUUUUGAGGUGCUUUUGACAUGUUGGGAGGGACAAACAACACUAAAUAUGGUACAAUAUGGUACAGAAAGACAGAAGGCUAAAUGCCGGCUUUGCUGCACGUGCUUUUAAGCUUCCUGGUCUCUGACGUCACCCGCCUGUGACAUCUCGCCUAUCCAUUGGUCUGAUUACUGUGGCAGGGUGGAAGGAACACGCAACAGCAAACUCAAGUGCAAAGCCACAGAGGGUGGAUUUUAUUAUAAAGUGCAGGGUUACGAGGGUGAUGGCGGUGGUCUAGCGUGCGGUGAUGCUCUCGCUCGAGUCCGGGUGCAGGUGAAGCCGUGAGGUGCUCGUGGCAGUGUCCUCUGGUUACUCGCUGUCUGGAAGAGAUCGGAGAGAGAAGUAUCAGUGGGGUAGCUCGUGGAGAGGCUUCUCACCCGUGUCCUGAGUGCACGCUGUUUAUAUGGAGCCCGGCUGAUGAGAGGCAGGUGCUGGUGAUCAGCCCGUGAUGAGUUUCGAGCCGGUGCUCCUCGUGAAUUACCAGGGCAACGCUGAUGUGGAAUCGGGACGCUCGUCACAUUACACACAUGAUUCAGAGCCGGUCAUGCUGAAGGUGUUCCCAAAGCGUUCUCCGACACAGCUCGAGUUCCUGAAGAGGAACUUAAGUUGUAUUUUUAGUGUCGAUUGCAUCGCCAUUUUAUUGCAAUUAUGGAUUUGGCAAUUAUUCUUUUCAAAUUAAGCACUGGAUAUGGACAUGUAAUGCAGUAGACAAAACUGUAACUACUACAUGGCCAUGCAUUUACUGAAAAAUAAUUGCACACCUUGGAACAUUCAUCAGCCAAUCAGAAUCAAGCAUUCAACUGCCCUUGUACAAUAAUAUUUAUUAAAUCUCAUAUGAAGGAGCAUCUAAUCAGCUAAUCUCAGAAUGAAAUCUUUGUUAAUAAUGGGUGUGCAAAGCAUCCGAAAGUGAAUACUUCCCUACUAUACAAUACUGUAUUGCGAAAAUCAUAAUGGCACAAGUGUAAUAUGUUUGAAUACUCCAUCUGAAAGCUAAGACAGCUGACUUGUUGCCUCGCUGCCCAGCAAUAACUUCUCAGGUGGUGUUUGCACACAAAUGUACCUCCCUAAACUGAUUUUAUAUAAAAUACAUAUAAUGGUCUAAUGAUCUACAACAAAACAGAGAGAGCUUUGGUGAUAACUAGGUGAAUA
ensembl:lncRNA